rnacentral:snRNA from 1 species
GUACUCGCUUCAGCAGCACAUAUGCUAAAAUUGGAAUGAUGCAGAGAUUAGCAUGGCCCCUACACAAGGAGGACAAAAAAUUCAUGAAGCAUUCCAUAUUUUU